GUCCAGACUCCUACGGGAGGCAGCAGUGGGGAAUAUUGCACAAUGGGGGAAACCCUGAUGCAGCGACGCCGCGUGAGCGAUGAAGUAUUUCGGUAUGUAAAGCUCUAUCAGCAGGGAAGAAGAUGACGGUACCUGACUAAGAAGCCCCGGCUAACUACGUGCCAGCAGCCGCGGUAAUACGUAGGGGGCAAGCGUUAUCCGGAUUUACUGGGUGUAAAGGGAGCGUAGACGGCGAUGCAAGCCAGAUGUGAAAGCCCGGGGCUCAACCCCGGGACUGCAUUUGGAACUGUGUGGCUGGAGUGUCGGAGAGGCAGGCGGAAUUCCUAGUGUAGCGGUGAAAUGCGUAGAUAUUAGGAGGAACACCAGUGGCGAAGGCGGCCUGCUGGACGAUGACUGACGUUGAGGCUCGAAAGCGUGGGGAGCAAACAGGAUUAGAUACCCCUGUAA
rnacentral:rRNA from 1 species